rfam:Cohnella sp. VKM B-2846 B2846_07, whole genome shotgun sequence.
AAAUAUUGUGAAGAAAUCGGUGUUUCUAGCAUUCGCAUGCUAAGAGACUUAAUAGGGAAGUUCGGUGUAAAACCGACGCGGUCCCGCCACUGUAAUGGGGAACGUGAUGCAUUUGUCCACUGGCCGUCGGCCGGGAAGGCGCAUCCACGUGAAGAACCUAAGCCAGGAGACCUGCCGUUUCUUGAACACUAAU